CUUGCUUCUCUUGAGAGCGGCGGACGGGUGAGUAAUGCCUAGGAAUCUGCCUGGUAGUGGGGGAUAACGUUCGGAAACGGACGCUAAUACCGCAUACGUCCUACGGGAGAAAGCAGGGGACCUUCGGGCCUUGCGCUAUCAGAUGAGCCUAGGUCGGAUUAGCUAGUUGGUGGGGUAAUGGCUCACCAAGGCGACGAUCCGUAACUGGUCUGAGAGGAUGAUCAGUCACACUGGAACUGAGACACGGUCCAGACUCCUACGGGAGGCAGCAGUGGGGAAUAUUGGACAAUGGGCGAAAGCCUGAUCCAGCCAUGCCGCGUGUGUGAAGAAGGUCUUCGGAUUGUAAAGCACUUUAAGUUGGGAGGAAGGGUUGUAGAUUAAUACUCUGCAAUUUUGACGUUACCGACAGAAUAAGCACCGGCUAACUCUGUGCCAGCAGCCGCGGUAAUACAGAGGGUGCAAGCGUUAAUCGGAAUUACUGGGCGUAAAGCGCGCGUAGGUGGUUUGUUAAGUUGGAUGUGAAAUCCCCGGGCUCAACCUGGGAACUGCAUUCAAAACUGACUGACUAGAGUAUGGUAGAGGGUGGUGGAAUUUCCUGUGUAGCGGUGAAAUGCGUAGAUAUAGGAAGGAACACCAGUGGCGAAGGCGACCACCUGGACUAAUACUGACACUGAGGUGCGAAAGCGUGGGGGAGCAAACAGGAUUAGAUACCCUGGUAGUCCACGCCGUAAACGAUGUCAACUAGCCGUUGGAAAGCCUUGAGCUUUUAGUGGCGC
rnacentral:rRNA from 1 species